rnacentral:rRNA from 1 species
CCUACGGGUGGCAGCAGUGAGGAAUAUUGGUCAAUGGGCGCUAGCCUGAACCAGCCAAGUAGCGUGAAGGAUGACUGCCCUAUGGGUUGUAAACUUCUUUUAUAUGGGAAUAAAAUGUUGCAUGUAUACUGUUUUGUAUGUACCUUAUGAAUAAGGAUCGGCUAACUCCGUGCCAGCAGCCGCGGUAAUACGGAGGAUCCGAGCGUUAUCCGGAUUUAUUGGGUUUAAAGGGAGCGUAGGAGGGUUGUUAAGUCAGUUGUGAAAGUUUGCGGCGCAACCGUAAAAUUGCAGUUGACACUGGCAUCAUGGAGUACAGUAGAGGUAGGCGGAAUUCGUGGUGUAGCGGUGAAAUGCUUAGAUAUCACGAAGAACUCCGAUUGCGAAGGCAGCCUGCUGGACUGUAACUGACGCUGAUGCUCGAAAGUGUGGGUAUCAAACAGGAUUAGAUACCCGUGUAGUC